CAUUUUCUCUCAAAACCCCACGACGAUUUGACGAACUUCGUCUCUCUAAACCCAACGUCGAAGUCGAACGUCCACACUCCAGCGUCAGUGGUAGUCUGGUAGAAAAAUGCAAAUCUGCAAUAAACUUCAGGAAUUAAGAAUUGCUUGGCCAUUCUCAAUUUUGGGUGUGUUUUGAUCGACUUAAAGGGAAAUAUAUCUAUGCAUUCGCAAGUCCCUUGUACAAAAUAGGAAAAGGCUCUUCCCUGUAUUCGUUAUGGAUGCCCUUCUUUUAUUGAGUGGGUUGCUUUGAAUUGAAACCCUGGAUGUGAAGAGAUGCUGUUUCUGGAUAUUAGGUGUCAUGCCGAGUCUGAUUAGAAAAUUUCUGGUUUACAAAUAUGGAUUUAAGCUCGUGAAUUUUAGGGGCCUUUUGAUUUCUCUUGAGGUUGCCAAUAGUUAAUUCCUGGAGGUUGUACUGGGGAAGAAGUUAAACUAAUAACUAGUGGAGUGGGUCGAGUGGGAGGGGGAUUAAUGUAAAUGUAAUUCAUCCAAUUUAGUUAAACUAAUAACUAGUCACUUUGUUUCAGCCACAUAUAUAUAAUUGUUAUUGGAUAGUUAUUUGAUGGAUAUUUGGUGGACUAUACUAUUUUAUGUUUUAAAUUUAUUGAUGUUGGAAGACUA